UACGAACCGUACGAACGUUAUUCGGAAUCACUGGGCUUAAAGGGUGCGUAGGCGGGUCUUUAAGUCAGGGGGGAAAUCCUGGAGCUCAACUCCAGAACUGCCUUUGAUACUGAGGAUCUUGAGUUCGGGAGAGGUGAGUGGAACUGCGAGUGUAGAGGUGAAAUUCGUAGAUAUUCGCAAGAACACCAGUGGCGAAGGCGGCUCACUGGCCCGAUACUGACGCUGAGGCACGAAAGCGUGGGGAGCAAACAGG
rnacentral:rRNA from 1 species